AUUAUAUACUUAUCCAAGAAUCUUAUAAACUAAUAGAUAAUUAGGUUAUGUUGAGGCUUCAUUUUAUUCAACUCAUUUUGACUUAUCCAAUUAACUAAUUCUAUCUUAUCUGAACUUACCUUAUCUAAUUUGAACUUAUUAAUCUUAUCUGAAUAUAAAGGAGAAACUUGCUUCUAACCAAGCCUCCACUAUUCAUUCUUCUCUGAAAAAGGAGGCAAACAUGAUGUUGAAGCCUAUUCUUUACCGUCCGGGCAACUAGCUGCUUUAAAUCAGAAGAUCGAUUCUUUGAAUCUAGGAAGACGAUUCGAGCGACAAUUUUGCAAAAAGGGUUAGCCAACCCAUUUAAGUUCUCUUUCUUCUUUGGGCUUAUUUUGUAUUUGUGAGCUCAAUGCUCAAUGGGUCCACUACAAUAAAUAAAAAACUAGCAGCCCAAGAAAAGAUAAGAAGAAAAGGGAAAGAACAAUUGAAGAAAAAAAGACAAGAAGAUUAGAAAAAGAAAGAGAAGAUUAUGGGGAAGAAAGUUUUGGGAAAGCAAAUUGAAAAAUUGUCUGACAUUAGGAAAUUAUUAGAUUAAGAAAGUGUAGGAGAUCUUAGGGGGGACUUUUUGGAUUUUAAUGAAAGGAGGAGGAGAUGAGUGGAUGCAUAGAAGCGAAGAAAAGGAAAUAUAGGAGUGGGUAGCAGCGAAUUGUAUUGGAAGAAUAGCACCAGUACGCAGCAUCAAAUUACAGACAACAGAGAAAACAACAAGCAGAGAACAACACCAAAUUACAGAAUAGCAACAACCAUUAUAGAUUACAGACUACAAUAGCAAAUUGUCGAUAUCAGCGAAUUCAUCUUGUUUCCUUCGGUAAUUUGUGGUACUUUUCAAGUUGGGGUUUUACUCUAAUUUUCCUUUUUCUCCAUACAACUAGUAAUUGAACUUGGAUUAAUAAUAUAGUUAUUAGAUUUUUUAUUUUUUCAAUUAUGAAUUCUUUCACUCUUAUUAUUAUUAUUUUUGUUCUUAGUAUGUUAGGCUAAAUCUCUUUAGGAUAGGGAGAUAUAUUGAGUAUUAGAUUAUUAUAUUGAGAGAAUAGAAAAGCUAUGAUUUUUCAUA